AUGCCACUUCAGCAGCACAUACACUAAAAAACUGGAAAAUUACAGAGAAGAUUAGCAUGGCCCCUGCGCAAGGAUGACAUACAAAUUCGUGAAGCAUUCCAUAUUUUU